CCGAGUUCGGGGUUUUCCCCAACUCCCACCCUUGGUUACCUCACGUUGCUUCGGCGAGACGUUGGAAGCAGCCAUCGGCAAUUCAUACAGAUGCGCCGAUGAGUGCUCGCCGGACUCCAAAUACUCAUAGACUAUGUACAGUCAGAUGAAAACAAGCAAUAUAUAA
rnacentral:misc_RNA from 1 species